rnacentral:misc_RNA from 1 species
GUUUAAUAGAGCAGAACUAGGACGGCGGCAAUCAUAACAAGAUGGCGGUGUUUCUGAAUCUCUGCGUUUUCUUCUUGACGGCAUCAAUCGCCCUGGUUCAGGCAGCACCAAGGAUUGUGGAUCUUAGCCAUAGGCAAGAUGGGAACUCCCUCACCUGGCCAGGGAACCCAUCUUAUAACUUCACACAACUCUUCCGAGGAUUUGCUGAACUGUAUGGAUUCUGGUAUGAAAACAAUCACUUUGCGAUGCCCGAACACAUGGGUACUCAUAUAGACGCACCUGUUCACACAACACAAGGGAUGUGGAAAACCGAUCAAAUCCCAAUCGAAAAACUGUAUGGUCCAGGAGUUAUCAUAAAUGUCAAAGAAAAAGUCAAAAGCAAUCCGGAUUACAGAGUCACGGUCGAGGACCUAAUGAUGUGGGAGAAGAAGUUCGGAGAAAUGCCUCGGCAUGCCAUAGCUAUCAUGAAUUCUGGCUGGUCGGACAAGUACCCUAAUAAGACCCAGAUAUUUGGAAGCACCCAACACGACAAUGCUUCGUCGUUUCAUUUCCCAAGCUGGCAUGUGGACGCAGUCACGUGGUUGAUAAACAAGCGUCAAAUUAACGCUGUCGGUGUAGACACGCCUUCCACAGACUUUGGACAGGCUUCCGUAAGUGCCAGCUUCCCAUGUCACACAACUCUUGGCAGAAACAAUGUUGUCGGCAUCGAAUAUGUGGCUAAUCUGGAUAAAGUUCCGGAAAACGGAAGUACGAUUUACGUGCCGGUCCUGAAGCUCUUUGACGGAAGUGGAGGACCUGCGCGGGUUUUUGCGACAUAUGAUGACGAACCAAACAAAACGAAUGCCGCUGCUAUCCUAGCCAAUCCAACCAGCUUAUUCCGCUUUGCCAUCUAUUUUUCAAUGAUUCUUUUGUGUGAAAUUGGACUGUAGUUGGUUUCUUUGUAAUUACUACCCAUUUAAUCCAUUCUAAAUCACUGGCUUUUUUUUAUUUUGUUACACGUCUUUAUUAAAAGUUUAUUUGCAAUAUAUAAGCAUUGAAAACACAUCGAAAAAAGUUCACAUCAUAUAACAAAAGAAUAUCCUUUUACGAUAUGCUUUUAAGAAGCUUUUUGAGGGAUUUGAUUUUUUCAUAAAAAUAUAACCCCCUCCUAAUUCCAGAUAAAACGAAUAAGCGAAUUGUCUGCAGCUAAAUUUCAAUGAAAUGAUAUGACUAUAAAUGGAUAAAAGAAAAUGGGUUUUAUUUCACAAAAAUAUUCAUCUUGCAAUCCUUAUGGUUGUUUUUGAACUGUAAAGUAUAAUAAUAUUAGAUAUAUUUACUCAAUUAGAAUCAUUUGAUUAAUUCGUUUUUCAUUGCUGUAUAAACAUGGUAUUAAUCUUCUUUGUGUAUUCUUGUAUUACACAUUUUAUAAAUGUAUGUUGUAUAUCAAGCUUAUAAUUUAUGUUAAAAGUGUGACUUAACAUUAUCUAUGUACAUUCUCAGAAUUAUCUGCAAUGAAAAGUAAUCGAUAUUCUU